UGGGGAAUAUUGGGCAAUGGGGGAAACCCUGACCCAGCAACGCCGCGUGAGGGAAGAAGGUUCUCGGAUCGUAAACCUCUGUCAUCAGGGAAGAAGAAAGUGACGGUACCUGAUGAGGAAGCCCCGGCUAACUACGUGCCAGCAGCCGCGGUAAUACGUAGGGGGCGAGCGUUGUCCGGAAUGACUGGGCGUAAAGGGCGCGUAGGCGGCUCUGUAAGUCUGAAGUGAAAGUCCUGCUUUCAAGGUGGGAAUUGCUUUGGAAACUGAAGAGCUUGAGUGUGGAAGAGGAAAGUGGAAUUCCCAGUGUAGCGGUGAAAUGCGUAGAGAUUGGGAGGAACACCAGUGGCGAAGGCGACUUUCUGGGCCAUAACUGACGCUGAGGCGCGAGAGCGUGGGGAGCAAACA
rnacentral:rRNA from 1 species